rnacentral:sRNA from 1 species
CGCAGCUUCCGGCACGGCCUUCAAGCGCGGGACGCGACAAAGUCAUGGACCGCAACCCCUCGCCGCCGCCGCCGGGUCGCGACAAGGAGGAGGAGGAGGAGGUGGCCGGUGGAGACUGCAUAGGGAGCACGGUCUACAGCAAACACUGGCUCUUCGGCGUCCUCAGCGGACUCAUCCAGAUUGUUAGCCCUGAAAACACCAAAUCUAGCUCAGAUGAUGAGGAGCAGCUGACGGAUCUUGAUGAAGAAAUGGAGAAUGAAAUUUGCAGAGUAUGGGAUAUGUCAAUGGAUGAGGACGUGGCUGUAUUUCUCCAAGAAUUUAAUGCUCCUGAUAUAUUCAUGGGAGUACUGGCCAAGUCCAAGUGUCCUCGAUUAAGAUUUUCCUGUCAACGGGACCAAUAUCACUGACGGGGAAAUGAGGCAACUUGAAAGCUAGGAGUCAAGUUCAACUGCUUUCUCCUUUAUCCUCACACUGGAUUAUUUUGCUUUCACCUUGAGAGUCUUCCUCAGCUUCAUCCUUUUCCAUGCCUGAGGGCCCUCCUCC